rnacentral:tRNA from 1 species
GCCGGGAUGGCGGAAUUGGUAGACGCGCCAGCCUUAGGAGCUGGUAGGAGCAAUCCUGUGGAGGUUCGAGUCCUCUUCCCGGCACCA